rnacentral:precursor_RNA from 11 species
UGGCGUUUCUCCGAAACGUUGCUGAGCUGCUGUGAUGUAGAUUUUAAUACCUUGUGAUCUUGAGUAACUGUUCAAGUGAUUAAUAUUUACAUCACCUCAGCUCGGUGGCGACGAUCUCCCAACCGAUC